UAUAGGGUCAUCCAUGUUGUUUAUUUGCAUAUGAGCUCGGUGAUUUUACAGCAGAGCUUAAAAUGUCCUUGUUCCAGCUUGGAAUCAGUCCUCAAAUUAUAGCAUCGAUUAUAAUCACUCCUCCCUCUCUCUCUCGUCUGUGCUUUUCUCUCGUCUAAUGAACUAGAGGAAUGCAAUAGCUAAACAAGGUUCUUUUGCGAAAGGCUAGGAACCAGUAUACUUGGAAAGGGUUUGGGGCAAUCCCUAAUGCUUUGCAGGAGCUAAAGGAAGAGGGUCUGAAAGAGAACUUCAAUACUUUCCACGGCAAUUUCCAGGGCAAUGAUGAUCCAAAAUGUUCGCAGGGUUCAGAUGAUGAGGAAGGUGAUGAGAGUGGUCAUGCAACUGGGAGUCAGAAUGAGAACCCCAGUGUCAAUCUCAAAUCUUCAGGAAACUCGAAAAAUGGAACAAAAUUGUUGAGCUUAGACCUGCCGGAAAGAUUGCUUCAGGCAUAACCGAGAUACCGUUUUCUAUGCAUAUCAGGCAACCAAAAGAAGAUAACCUCGAAAAGUUCUAUGAGACGUUCCAUGGAGGAAAUAUUAACAUUCAGUAUUUAGUGACUGUAGAUAUAUCGAGAGGAUACCUGUAUAAGUCGUUAUCUACAACAAUGGAGUUCAUAGUUGAAAGUGAUAAAGGUGGAUUUCGAAUCAUUGGAAAAAUGGCCACUCAAUGUUCUUUAUCGGAUCCUGUUAGUGGUGAACUAACAGUAGAAGCAUCUGCAGUUCCAAUUUCUUCCAUUGAUAUACACUUGCUUCGUGUAGAGUCAAUCCUUCUAGGGGAGAAAAUUGUGACUGAGAAGUCUGUGGUUCAGACUACACAGGUAUGUACCCUUUCUUAUCUUC